rnacentral:lncRNA from 1 species
UGGUCGGAUUUGGGUUUGGGUUUCGGUUAAUCUUAAAUAUCUUUUCCUAUUUAAUGACUAAAAAUAACAAAUAUAGUAUUAAUUUGUGGUUUUGAUUGAUUGAUCAAACUAACAACUUACAUUUAUAAUUAAAAUUAAAAAAAUUCUAUUUUGAAUUUAAAUUUAGAAUUAAAAUUAAUAAUACAAGUUUAAAUAUGUAAUUUACUACAACAUUCAUAUGCAAGUUAAAAUGCAUUACUAAAGUUAGUUUCAAAAUCAAAUUUAAAUUUGAAUUUUAUAUUUAAAUUGAAAAUUAAAAUUUGAAAUUCAAAUCUUAAACAAUUAUAAAAUUUAUAAUUUUAAUUCAUAUAUAAAUUUAAAAUUUGAUUUUAAAAUUUUUAAUUAAAAAUUUAUGUUUAAAAAUUGAACUUUUAAUUUCUAUCUAACCUUUGAUUCAAUGUCAAACUAUAAAUUAAUUAAAAAAUAUAUAAGUUUGCACAUGAGGGCAAAGUGGUUCGACCACUAA